GUUCAGAUGCUUCAAUCUUCUUCUGCUGCUGUUUUGUCUGGUUUAUCACAGCGAAAACACAUCUAUAUCUGUGUCAGGAAAGAAGGGAGGAAACAUCACACUCACAUGUGAAUCUGAGGCCAAAAAUAUUUUUCAUAUUAAGCUAAUCGGUGAGUCUGGAGGAAUUGAUGUUUGUCAAAAUGAAGUAUGCAGUGGACGAGUGUUUAAAGAAGGAAACUGUGACGUCUUCAUCAAGAAUCUGAUCUUCAGUGACGCUGGGAAAUACACUUUGAGAAUCUAUUACAAUAAUGAUCAGACAGAGCUGGAGUAACAAAUCAGGACGUACCAACUUCAUAUUCAUGAUGAGAUUUCUGUGAAAACAGGCGAGGAGCUAAAGAUGUCUGUUCUGGUGUCUGAUGCUGAUAAAGUGAAGACAAACUCUAGUGGAGAGUGGAAGGAGGUUUGGAUGAGAGAUCACGGGGUUCAGAGCGACCGAAUGAAUGAUGAUAAUGAUGGAAACCUGAUCAUUAAAUCAUUUCUGGACAGAGAUGCAGGAACAUACAGAGUUCUGGACACUGAAGGAGAAAUCUUGAUCACAGUCACAGUCACAGGUGAGAGAAGCUCAGAUAUGAGGAAAUAUUAUUUAUAAAGCAUGUGGACAGCUGAGGUUUAUUCAUCAUGAUCUGAACAUCACAUUGAUGCUGAACUGUGUGACUGACCUCUCAAUAUCUUCUACAAUCAAAGGAAAAACUGGACGACACUAAACAACGCAAGAACUGGAUUGUGUCAGUUGUCAUGUGUUUGGUGAUUCUGGCUGUGAUUGUGAUUUCUGUCAUCAUAUGGAGACGUCAGCACAGAGAUCACACACCGGUUCCAGCAGAUCCCCCACAGGAACUGGAUGAACUACCCUGAACCCCUGGUGAUGCAACUUAUGAUGUUACUGAUAUAAUUUCAACAUGUAAACUUAGUUUUGCUGAUGAUACUGUGGUUCUGGGCCUCAUUCACAACAAUAAUGAGACCGCAUACUUGGAUGAGGUAGAGAAAUUAACAUCUUGGUGCCAGGACAACUGUCUCUCUCUGAAUGUGAGCAAAACUAAAGAACUGAUUGUGGACUUCAGGAAGAGACAGCAGCAGCCCUAUACUCCUCUCAUGAUCAGCGGGACCCCUGUGGAGAGGGUGAGCAGCUUCAAGUACCUUGGUGUAAACAUCUCGGAGGACCUCACUUGGACUACUCACAUUCAAACACAGGUUAAUAAAGCCAGGCAAAGACUGUACCAUCUGCGACAGCUGAGGAAAUUCAGGGUCUCACCAGCAAUCCUGAAAACUUUCUAUUCUGGGGCUAUAGAAAGUGUAUUGACUCAGUGCAUCUCAGUGUGAUAUGGGAACAGCUCCAGUCAAGACUGCAAAGCCCUGCAGAGAGUUGUGCGCUUAGCUGAGCGCAUUUCAGGGUCUGCUCUCCCCUCUCUGCAGGACAUCUACCUCAAACGCUGCAGAAGUAGAGCUGCAAAAAUCAUCAAAGACUCCAUCCACCCCAGUAACCAUCUUUUCACUUUGCUGCCAUCUGGUAAGCGCUUCCGUAGCCUGAUGGCAAAAACUGAGAGACUCAUGAGGAGUUUCUUCCCCCAGGCCAUCAGGCUCCUAAACUCAAAACAAGCCUCUUAACAUCCUCAUGCUUCCACUUAAUGUUCACUUUAUCAGUAAGAUAUUCAUCAUUCACUGUUUGCACAUUUGCCUCUUGUACAUCCCUGUGUACCUUAAUAUUUAAGACUACAGUUUACACUCAUGCACAUUAUUCUGCGUUGUAUAUUUAAUUCUACAAUAUACAAUUUUUUUUUUCUUAUAUUUUUGUUUACUUUUAUUUCAUUGUUACAUAGCUA